CACCUUCUCCUGAGGCUUACUCUGCCCUGAGCCUUUCCAGAUCACCCUUGUUCUUUCAAAGCUCAUCCUGGGUUCCAUUUCCUCUGACAUCUGUUGUCUUCUCUGUUCUUGAUACAAUUUGAUACACAUUUGAUGUCUAUCCUGUGCCUUGAUCUGUACUGAGCUCGCAGGAUGCAAAGAUGAACGAAAUGCGAUUCUCAGCCCCCGAUCUAGCUCUCCAGGAUGACAGUCACCAAGAUGACAAACUAAACUAUGCAGAAUUCAUGAUGGACAGUCCCUUUCAGAAUGCCCAGGUGAACUGCUUCUAUGUAUUCCUGAGUAUUAAAUGGGAAAAGAUUUCCAAGUGAUUCUUCAACAUGUAACUGACCAGCCCAGUCAGACACAAUUCUGGUAGCCCAUCAGAUUUCCAAAAAUUUCACACUUAUUGAAUUUCCACAUUUACAGCACAGGACAUUGGAAGCAACAGGAGUAAAGCUGUAAGGAAAAAUUGGAUUCCAGAGUGACCAAGAUUUUCCUGGGAUGUGUUUGGUGCUGUUUGAGCACAGGCAGAACUAGGUGAUGGUUCAUCCCGCAUUAGGAUUCCCCCCUGAGCGGGGAAGCUGAGUUAGAGAGAGCAGCCGUCUCCCAAGGACACUUUGGUGUCAUGGCUUGGGGAACUCUUAACUGGUGAGCAGCUCUGGGAAGGACUAAAACUGGGUGUGUGGUGCAAAGUGUGUGCUAAUCACACAUUUAAGGAAUCAAGCGACAUCAAAGCAUGAGAUCACACGAGUAACAGAGAUGGCACGGGGGAGAUGAGGGAUACAGCACAGUGGGAGGUCUCCUGCUUUUUCUUUCCUGAUGGGGGGAGGAGAGGUUAUUAAUGAUGGGAUGGAUUAGAACAGAUGGGUACUUUUGACACAUUUCCCCAUGUUGUUAUUUUCCAGUUUCCCAUCUUCCCACCCCUAGUCAUGUGCCUUUCCCUUGGUUAGGAGUGAAAACAUGUGACUUUUUAAAGGGAAGCCUCAGGAAGGGAAGGUAGAUUAGAGAUGUUGCCAUAUUGCUCAGAGCACACGCUGGGCUGAUCGGGAAGGUCUUCCCAGAGCCUUUGCUCAGAGGGGCACGUGUGCUUUCCGACACUGUGUUCAAAGGCAAACUGCGUGACUUUCCACGGGCUCCAUCUCAGCCCCACUCCAGCCAGGCAGCCGUCACUUGCUGAUUACUGCUACCUUUCUGCAGCCUGGAGAUUUGCAUUGUAAAUGG